rnacentral:rRNA from 1 species
AGAGUUUGAUCAUGGCUCAGGGUGAACGCUAGCUACAGGCUUAACACAUGCAAGUCGAGGGGAAACGACAUCGAAAGCUUGCUUUUGAUGGGCGUCGACCGGCGCACGGGUGAGUAACGCGUAUCCAACCUGCCCACCACUUGGGGAUAACCUUGCGAAGUAAAAAGACUAAUACCCAAUGACGUCUCUAGAAGACAUCUGAAGGAGAUUAAAGAUUUAUCGGUGAUGGAUGGGGAUGCGUCUGAUUAGCUUGUUGGCGGGGUAACGGCCACCAAGGCGACGAUCAGUAGGGGUUCGUGAGAGGAAGGUCCCCACAUUGGAACUGAGACACAGUCCAAACUCCUACGGGAGGCA